rnacentral:lncRNA from 1 species
CCACUAGCAUCACAUGAUUUGUCAACAUACAUAUAGUCAUUAUCCAAAAUAGUCCAUACUUAGCAUCUCAUGCAUUCUUUUAGCAUUUAAUUCAUCAUGCAUUACAUUUAGCAUUUCUAUAGUAUGUUAACAUGCAUUCUAUUCACAUUCUUAUAUUAUGUCAAUAUGCAUCAAUAUGAAAUCUCAUUUCUUAGACAUAAAGGGCGACCUAGUCGCUUCGGUAAACACAACCCACCUCAUUUCGCAUUCCGAUUGCUUGUCGACACUUGCAAUCGGCCGCCCGCGGCACCCGGCACCCGGCACCCGGUUUGGCCCGAUCUCUUGCGCGACCACCCGAACGGCCUCCAAUUCAUGAUUCGAAAAUUAAAGGUCUUCGGUUAUGUGCCACGAUGCCUCAAAUCCAUUUUCAUGAAUUUACGGUAUCGCCUCGGCCCUCCCGGCGGACCCGAAGCCUAAACGUCUAUUUCUUUAAUAACUUUGUAACGGCUCGUCGGAUUGCCGAACCGUCUUCGCCAACGCGUUUCGUUACCUAGCAAUUAGGUUUACAUAGGGUCAAAUGAGAUCAAACCCUCAUAUUUACCAAAUUAGCAUUUUUGAGCCCUAAUAUGAAUUAACCUCUAAAUAAUCCAAAUCAAAUGGGGCAAACAUGUUUAGAAUGCUCAUUAGAGGCUAUUAGAACACUUGAAACUAAGGAUUAAGCCAAAUCCUAAAAGCUUACCUCAAUGUGAACGCCGCGACGACAACACACCGCUCCAACGGUCGCACGAAAGCCCGAUCCGUCGCCUCCAACGCGUUCGCAAGCAUCUUCUCCACCAACCCUCCAAUUUUUAGAGAGAGAUUUAGAGAGAUGAGAGAGAUAUCUAGAGAGAGGAAGGAGAGCUUCUCUCUCUAUCUCCAUGAGUGUGCGUGUGUGUGUGUGUGGCGUGUGCGGCUGAAGGAGAAGAAGAAGCAUCAGCUUCUUAAUAAUACCCCCAAGACACUAUUCACUCCCGGGCAGCUUGAAGUCUGAUAAAUUUCGUUGGAGCUCUUCCGGAUAUCCGUUUGAGCUCAAAUUUGGCAGGCAAGUUCGGUUUCACUUCGUAAGUCCAAAGAAAUUUUAAUAUUUCAGUUUCGACCUCGUUUGGUCACUGAAAACUGUACCGAACUGCAAUCUUUAUCAGAUAGCUAUCAGAUUUUUAUUUCUCACUCUACGGGUGUCAGAAAAAUAUGAAACCUUAAAUCUAGCCUCAUAAAAAUAUUUCUGACAUCUCUGCCAAUUUUCAUAAUUUUCUGAGACUGUGCAUUUUCUGCUAAUUUAUCUGUCCCGUUUCCAACAGAAAAUUCUAGAUCUUCUGUUCUCAUUCCGAUUUCAGCACAAGUCACUUCUGACUUAUGUUUUACUUCUACAAACCCAAUAAAAAUAGUUUCUCACACUAUUUUUAUUUAUUUUUAUUUUUAUACCAAAAUCUGGUAUGUUACAAU